rnacentral:rRNA from 1 species
UGGGGAAUAUUGGACAAUGGGCGCAAGCCUGAUCCAGCCAUGCCGCGUGAGUGAUGAAGGCCCUAGGGUUGUAAAGCUCUUUCACCGGUGAAGAUAAUGACGGUAACCGGAGAAGAAGCCCCGGCUAACUUCGUGCCAGCAGCCGCGGUAAUACGAAGGGGGCUAGCGUUGUUCGGAUUUACUGGGCGUAAAGCGCACGUAGGCGGACUUUUAAGUCAGGGGUGAAAUCCCGGGGCUCAACCCCGGAACUGCCUUUGAUACUGGAAGUCGUGAGUAUGGUAGAGGUGAGUGGAAUUCCGAGUGUAGAGAUGAAAUUCGUAGAUAUUCGGAGGAACACCAGUGGCGAAGGCGGCUCACUGGACCAUUACUGACGCUGAGGUGCGAAAGCGUGGGGAGCAAACAGG